rnacentral:rRNA from 1 species
UGCAGUCGAACGAUGAACCUGGAGCUUGCUCUAGGGGAUUAGUGGCGAACGGGUGAGUAACACGUGAGUAACCUGCCCUUGACUCUGGGAUAACCUCCGGAAACGGAAGCUAAUACCGGAUAUGACGUACGGAGGCAUCUCCUGUGCGUGGAAAGAAUUUCGGUCAAGGAUGGACUCGCGGCCUAUCAGGUAGUUGGUGAGGUAACGGCCCACCAAGCCUACGACGGGUAGCCGGCCUGAGAGGGUGACCGGCCACACUGGGACUGAGACACGGCCCAGACUCCUACGGGAGGCAGCAGUGGGGAAUAUUGCACAAUGGGCGCAAGCCUGAUGCAGCAACGCCGCGUGAGGGAUGACGGCCUUCGGGUUGUAAACCUCUUUUAGUAGGGAAGAAGCGAAAGUGACGGUACCUGCAGAAAAAGCACCGGCUAACUACGUGCCAGCAGCCGCGGUAAUACGUAGGGUGCGAGCGUUGUCCGGAAUUAUUGGGCGUAAAGAGCUCGUAGGCGGUCUGUCGCGUCUGCUGUGAAAACCGGAGGCUCAACCUCCGGCCUGCAGUGGGUACGGGCAGACUAGAGUGCGGUAGGGGAGAAUGGAAUUCCUGGUGUAGCGGUGGAAUGCGCAGAUAUCAGGAGGAACACCGAUGGCGAAGGCAGUUCUCUGGGCCGUAACUGACGCUGAGGAGCGA